rnacentral:misc_RNA from 1 species
UAAUAAAUAUAUCAUCACAAUUAUUAAAAUUAUUAAAUAGUUAUUAUUUUAUGAAAGCUAGAAAGUUACAUAAAUUCACACACAUGAGCAUUGCUUGUUUGGCAGUGCUGGCACAAAAAGGGCGUCAAAAUAUAAGAAACAUGUACCAUAUGAUUCUUGAACGAUAUAUCCAUUUGAAAACAACACAAAAACGUGUAGAUUAAGAAGAAACCAAACAAGU